GCUGUACAAAACCCAUGAUCACGAACAAGAAAAGAUGAUGGAGAAAGAUUGUGAGAGAGAAAAAAAAAAAAAAAUGUGUUAUAGAGAAGGAUCAACAAGGGGUGAAGAUUAUUCUGGAGGUCUGUCUGUCAGUAUCUCCUGAGCUUUUGCAGCCUGUACAUUAUCCCGACAGUGAAGCAUUAACCGAAAACAACCGCGGAGAUGAGGAAAAACACAGAAGAGAAAGAAGAAAAAGGAGAAAACGAAGAGGAACACGAGGAGGAUGAAGAUGAAUCAGUAGCAUCGAUUUGUUGGUGGAAGACUACAGAAUACUUGAACUAUAUGCAGUAACUCUGACACUGUCAGGAAAUAAACUUUGGAAGAAAUCCUACCUGAAGAACUGCAGCAGUAGAAAGUAGUACAUCAUGAUAUUAUGAUUUUUUUUUUUUUGUCUGCAUAAUGGAAAACUGGUCUGGAUUUUUGUGAGUGAAAGUCAGAAAUGGGAUGGUGU